AAUAGAUACCCUGGUAGUCCACGCCGUAAACGAUGAGUGCUAGGUGUUAGAGGGUUUCCGCCCUUUAGUGCUGCAGCUAACGCAUUAAGCACUCCGCCUGGGGAGUACGGCCGCAAGGCUGAAACCCAAAGGAAUUGACGGGGGCCCGCACAAGCGGUGGAGCAUGUGGUUUAAUUCGAAGCAACGCGAAGAACCUUACCAGGUCUUGACAUCCCGCUGACCGGCCUAGAGAUAGGUCUUUCCCUUCGGGGACAGCGGUGACAGGUGGUGCAUGGUUGUCGUCAGCUCGUGUCGUGAGAUGUUGGGUUAAGUCCCGCAACGAGCGCAACCCUUGAGAUUAGUUGCCAGCAUUCAGUUGGGCACUCUAAUCUGACUGCCGGUGACAAACCGGAGGAAGGUGGGGAUGACGUCAAAUCAUCAUGCCCCUUAUGACCUGGGCUACACACGUGCUACAAUGGGUGGUACAAUGGGUUGCAAACCCGCGAGGGGGAGCCAAUCCCACAAAGCCACUCUCAGUUCGGAUUGCAGG
rnacentral:rRNA from 1 species